AGCGAACGCUGGCGGCAGGCUUAACACAUGCAAGUCGAGCGGGCACUCUCGGGUGUCAGCGGCGGACGGGUGAGUAACGCGUGGGAACGUGCCCUUUGGUUCGGAAUCACUCAGGGAAACUUGAGCUAAUACCGGAUACGCCAUUUUGGGGAAAGGCUUGCUGCCGGAGGAUGGGCUCGUGUCUGAUUGGUUUGUUGGUGAGGUAACGGCGCACCACGGCGCCUAACCGUAGCUGGUAUGAGAGGGUGUGCAACGACACUGGGACUGAGACGCAGCCCAGACUCCUACGGGAUGCAGCAGUGGGUAAUAUUGGACAGUGGGCGCAAUCCUGAUCCAGCCAUGCCGCGUGAGUGAUGUAAGCCUUAGGGAUGUAAAGCUCAUUUAUCCGGGACGAUAAUGACGGUACCGGAGGAGUAAGCCCCGGCUAACUUCGUG
rnacentral:rRNA from 1 species